rnacentral:rRNA from 1 species
GAUGAACGCUGGCGGCGUGCCUAAUACAUGCAAGUCGAGCGAACAGACGAGGAGCUUGCUCCUCUGACGUUAGCGGCGGACGGGUGAGUAACACGUGGAUAACCUACCUAUAAGACUGGGAUAACUUCGGGAAACCGGAGCUAAUACCGGAUAAUAUAUUGAACCGCAUGGUUCAAUAGUGAAAGACGGUUUUGCUGUCACUUAUAGAUGGAUCCGCGCCGCAUUAGCUAGUUGGUAAGGUAACGGCUUACGAAGGCGACGAGGCGUAGCCGACCGGAGAGGGUGAUCGGCCACACGGGAGCUGAGACACCGUCCAGACGCCUACGGGAGGCAGCAGUAGGGAAUCUUCCGCAAUGGGCGAAAGCCUGACGGAGCAACGCCGCGUGAGUGAUGAAGGUCUUCGGAUCGUAAAACUCUGUUAUGAGUGAAGAACAAAUGUGUAAGUAACUAUGCACGUCUUGACGGUACCUAAUCAGAAAGCCACGGCUAACUACGUG